rnacentral:rRNA from 1 species
AUUGAACGCUGGCGGCAGGCCUAACACAUGCAAGUCGAGCGAGCGGCGGACGGGUGAGUAAUGUAUGGGGACUGCCCGAUAGAGGGGGAUAACUACUGGAAACGGUAGCUAAUACCGCAUCCUAUCGGAUAACCCAGAUGGGAUUAGCUAGUAGUUGAGGUAAUGGGUCACCUAGGCGACGAUCCCUAGCUGGUCUGAGAGGAUGAUCAGCCACACUGGGACUGAGACACGGCCCAGACCAAUACGGAGGCAGCAGUGGGGAAUAUUGCACAAUGGGAGCAAGCCUGAUGUAGCCAUGCCGCGUGUAGGAAGAAGGCCAUAGUGUUGUAAAGUAAUUUCAGUCGGGAGGAGUUACCGACAGAAGAAGCACCGGCUAACUCCGUGCCAGCCGCCGCGGUAAUUC